GGAAGCCCGUCUCGUCGUCGUCGUCUCUCUCUCCCCAUCAUCCUCUGUCCUUUUCCUGGUGCCUCCCCUCCCCUCCUGGCCUCCUCGCAACUUGCGAUUCCCAAAUCCCGAUGCGUCCUCGCGGCUAGCGAUCCCGCGUCCGCCUCGCCGGCCCCUCCACCCCCGCCCGCCGCCGCCGCCGCCUCCUCCCAUGACGUCGCCGUCCUCGCACCAUCCGGACUCCUCCUCGGCGUCCUCCACCCCGCGCGCCGGUGCCGGCAACACCCACCUCCACCCGCCGCCUCUCCCGCCGGCCCCCGCGCCCACCCCCGCCGCUCCUCCCGCGCAGGCGCACGGGGGGCCGCAGGUGCGCCUCAUGUGCAGCUUCGGCGGCCGCAUCCUGCCGCGCCCGGGGGACCUCCAGCUGCGCUACGUCGGCGGGGAGACCCGCAUCGUCUCCUUCCCGCGGGCCGCGGCCUCCUUCGCCACCCUCGUCUCCGCGCUCGCCAAGGUCGCCCCGGCCCUCUUCGCCCCGGGGGUGCCCCGCCCGUCGCUCAAGUACCAGGUGCCCCACGACGACCUCGACUCGCUCAUCUCCGUCAGCUCCGACGACGACGUCGACCACCUCAUGGACGAGCUCGACCGCCUCCACGACGAGGCCGCCGCCGCCGCCAGGCCGCUCCGCCUCCGCGUCUUCCUCUUCGCGCCCGCGCCCGAUGCCGCCUUCGGCUCCAUCCUCUCGGGCACCGCCGGCGAUGCCGUCUCCACCGACCAGUGGUUCGUCGACGCGCUCAACGCCCCCGCGCCGCACCCCAUCGAGCGCGGCCGAUCCGAGGCGUCGUCGAUCAUCUCCGAGGUCCCCGACUACCUCUUCGGCCUCGACACCGCGUCCGACGAACCCAGCCCCGGCCCCGCGGUCUCCCGCAACAAGUCCGAUGCCGCCGAGACUCCACGCCAACACGGCGACGAAGACGAAGCAUCGGUUCCCGCGCGCCAGGUGCCGUACGUCGCGGAGGGAGCAUCGUCAUGGCCCGCCCCGCCUCCGCCGUACAUGGCGCAGCCCGUGUACUACUCCCCCCUCCCGCCGCCGGUCCACUACCUUGAUCCGUCUGCGCAGGGCGGCUACAUGCCUCGCCCUGUCUACCACAUGGUCGGUGGCGGAGGAAGCGAGGUACCCGGCGGAGAUCUCCACGCGGCCGGCGGCGUCUACGGCGUCCCGCACCCCAUGCAGGCGUUCCCGCCGAUGAUGUACGCGCCGCCGCGCGCGGUCGUCUACACGGCGGAGGGGCAGCCGUUGCCGCCUCCUGAAGGUGGGGCCCCCUCUUCCUAGGCGACUAAGCUGCUCAUGGAGUGGAGAGCCGCUUCUCAUUUCUGGAUCCUGAUGAUUGCAGAUGCCUAGGCUUAGGAAUUUUUGCAUUGCUGCGCGCGUGGUCAAUUUAUUGUUCGUCAGGUUCUUGUUGGUUGGUGUAUAGUUGAGGGAGGUGGACGAUGGAUGGAUAUUGCAAUUUUCGUCGAGUGGACAUAUAUAUUCUUAAAAUAUAGUUAUAUAUAGUGUAGUAUUCUGUGUGAUUAGUACCCAAGCUAAUGUAAUGUGGAUUCAUAUAUUCUGGUUCUGGAUGACAAAUUUUGGGCAUUUUAUCUCAUAAAACUGGAGGUUGGGUGAAUGUUCUCAGCAAUAUUGUCCUGUAAAAUGUUCACUUAUGAGAUUCAGAUGUUACAUGUGGAACCUUAAUUUC